AAGCGCAUUUGUCGGCGGGGGGAUACGUUGGCAAUCGCGCAUUGCUUUCGACUUGUGACCACGGAUGUACUGGCACGAGUUUUGAGAGCGAAAAGACAGAAGGCCGGGGCCAACGUGCCUCGGCCUUUUUGUUG
rfam:Sinorhizobium meliloti SM11 plasmid pSmeSM11d, complete sequence.